UGUUGCUGAAAUUGCUGUCUUGCAUCCGCAGCUGAGCCACGCUGACAAAGGCUGAGAGCAAAAAGCAGUGAGAGGAAAGCGCUGGGCUGUGAAAUGGAUGGAUGCUUCAGAGAGGAGCAUGGCUUGGGAUAAUCAACAGGUGCUGGGACUGCCAUCCUGUGGUUCGGCUCCAAGGCUGUGCGUGGGGACGUGGCUGAAGCACAACUCCCAGUGCUGGCGUGGAACGCAGCGUGUAACGUGGGAUGCGUGCCUUUGCUUCCAUGUUGGAUUUUAGCUGUGGGAGUUUGGUGCAUCUCGGCAGCAGCGUUCUUUCUUUAGCACUUUAGCUGGAGAGGAAGCAAAGCGAUGAGGAGAUUUGUUUACUGCAAGGUGGUGCUGGCCACUUCUCUCAUGUGGGUGCUUGUGGAUGUCUUCUUACUUCUGUACUUCAGUGAAUGUAAUAAAUGUGAUGACAAGAAGGAGAGGUCCCUGCUGCCUGCUCUGAGGGCUGUCAUUUCCAGAAACCAGGAAGGACCCGGUGAGAUGGGGAAGGCGGUGCUCAUCCCAAAAGACGACCAGGAGAAGAUGAAAGAGCUGUUUAAAAUCAACCAGUUUAACCUUAUGGCCAGUGACCUGAUUGCUCUGAACAGAAGCUUGCCAGACGUGAGGCUGGAUGGGUGAGUGGUACUCGGGGCUCUGCUGCAGGUGAAUGGGGCUCUGGCUGCAGUGCAUCGUGGGCUGGCUGCGGGCAAAUCCUCCUUGGCUCCGGGUGCGUUGCUGGGCUCUGGGUGCAGCCUGCUUAUCUGGAGCUUACCAGCUCUAGAUUUGGCUUCUUGUAAUACACGCUGAGGCAAAGAGUUAGUGCAUCACAGAUGUGCAGUUUAUUUUGUGAACUGAUGAAAAUUUCCAACUUUCAGUAUGUUGCACUGUGGCACGUAACGCAAUGCUGUCUGGUUUGUCAUGUUGCCUGCACUACUUUGUUAUUACUUUUUUUCUCCUGGAAAACUUUAAGCUUUUAAAGUGAUUAAAAAAACUCCCACCGUUGUUGACUUCAUAGCUUUUUGUAAUUAAGUUAUUGGCAUUGAAAAGUUGACGUGUUAAUUCUGACAGGAAGACAGCACUACCAGUGCCAGAAGUUGUCCUGCACAGUGUAACCUCCUAUUGGUUCCACCUGUAGGCUUUUCUGGGAUAAUCCUAUUUUAAAGAAUCUUUUUCAGAACACUUUGCACUUGUUUAAAUCUGAAGACUUUAAAGUCUGUUUAUUCAUUUAAAUCUGAUAACUUCUGAUAGCCUGUUAUGUGACUGCUGCUGGCUCCCCACCUUCUGGGCAUCUGCCAUUCCUGGAGGGAUGCUCGGAGGUGACCUCUCCACAUAACUCCCAUUUUUGGCAGUUCUGCCCUGCCUGGUUGCACAGCUACUUAAACCAGAGUGGUUUGGUGCAGUUACAGGCUGUGGCACUGAAUACUGAUGCCUGUUGCUGAAUUGCUGACAUCCAUACCAUACCUUCUUUUGACUAGGCUUGAUAGCAGCAAUAUGCAGAAACCCAGCUGCUAAAGGCACUGAUGUGUUUUCAGUGUGAUGGGAAUGGAAAAAUCAGAGGCUCCACACAGCAGCUGCUCUCUGAGCAGGUGAGCAAGGCAGUGAAUAGUGAUCUGUCGUCAGGCACCUGUGCUGGCAGCUGGGUGGGCACUGACUGUGCUGCCCUCCUCUCAUCUCCCAGCUCUGCAGUGCUGGUGAGGUUCUGCCUGCACUCAGAGUUCCUUAGGGUGGGCUCAGCAAUGGAUUGAUGCACCUGAGCGUCGGCAGAUUUAGGAGAACUGUAAGGCAGAGCUAUAGAUCAGAAAAACCCCAAAUGUUUCCCGUUUUUGCACAGCACUUUAAGGGUCACAGAAUCACAGAAUGGCCAGGGUUGGAAGGGACCUCAAGGAUCAUGAAGCUCCAACCCCCUGCCACAAGCAGGGCCACCAACUUCCACAUUUAAUACCAAACCAGGCUGCCCAGGGCUCCAAGGAUGAUUUUGUAUCCUAGCAUUAUAAUUGCUGCAGCUUGCAAGAAAUGCAAAUGUAGAAAAAUGUGAGCUGAUCUAAAUGUAGGCAAGUUGCCAGAUAUUCUAAAAUUUCCCAUUUCUUUUACUUUUUAAACAGAGUUGUCACUUAGCUGAAAUCUUGCUAAGAUUUCUUUCCAAUUAGAUUCUUCAGGUCCCUAUGAAAUUUUAAAUCAAAUAAACACUACCUCCCUCCCAUGCAUUUUAUUUGUGUCUGUAAAUAGCAUAAUUGUUCCUUAAAAACCACACCUAGUUCACAAGCAACGUGAGCGAUGCUUCUCCAGUGCAUGACCAUUUGUAAUCUGGUGAUGCUCGUUUUCAGUAGAACAGCACCUAAUGUUACUGCCAGCAGAGAUGCACUCUGUGCAGCAGAAGCACCAGGAAAGCUUUACUGCUUAUCGCUGCUUUGCUCCCUGUUGCCUGCGCUUCCCUGUGCAGGAAGAAGGAGCCAAGAAGGCACUGCUUGGUCAGCUUCAAAAGCUCCGUCCUCCCCCUGUGAGUGAUAGUUGAAAAGAAAAGGAAUAAUGAGCAAAUAGGUAAAGUUUUCAUAUCAGUGAAUGGCUGUGCUUGGUGUAAGGGAGAUGAGCUAUGUAGUGCUGAGAUAAAUCUGCCUGCGUGCGUUUCUUUUGUGAGAAAAGCUUUCACACUCUAUCUGCAUUGAAAAGACAAAGUAUUUGGGGAUUUCAAAAAAAAAAAGCAUCUUUUUGUUUUUCUCUUCUGAGAUGCUUUCAUUACGUGUCCUGUCUUUAAGGAGGAUUAAACUGUUCCAAAUGCCUACUUACGAUGCUUUGCUCUUAGGGAAGAAUACAGUUUUUCAAGGCCAGGCUGGAUGUGGCUCUGGGCAGCCUGGGCU